GUCCACGCCGUAAACGAUGGAUGCUAGGUGUUGGGGGUAUUGACCCCUCCAGCGCCGCAGCUAACGCAUUAAGCAUCCCGCCUGGGGAGUACGGCCGCAAGGCUAAAACUCAAAGGAAUUGACGGGGGCCCGCACAAGCGGUGGAGCAUGUGGUUUAAUUCGACGCAACGCGAAGAACCUUACCUGGGUUAAAUCGCCCGGAAUCCCGCAGAGAUGUGGGAGUGCCCUUCGGGGAACCGGGUAGAAGGUGCUGCAUGGCUGUCGU
rnacentral:rRNA from 1 species